rnacentral:rRNA from 1 species
UAGAUGGCAAACGGCGAGUUCAUCCUGCUUAGUAGUCUCUCUGUGUAUUCAAUAAACAUAUUUGUAUCAGAAUGUCUAUUUGCGAUAAUCGCAUGNAAAUACAACUUUCAGCAACGGAUCUCUUGGCUCUCGCAUCGAUGAAGAACGCAGCGAAAUGCGAUAAGUAAUGUGAAUUGCAGAAUUCAGUGAAUCAUCGAAUCUUUGAACGCACCUUGCACUCCUUGGUAUUCCGAGGAGUAUGCCUGUUUGAGUGUCAUGUUAUCCUCACUUUUCUCGGAUUUUCUUCUGAGAUAGAGUAGAAUUGGAAGCUGCUGGUUGCUAUCAAUCAGCUCUUCUUAAAUGUAUUAGUGUGAAUGUUACCAAUGUUCUCCAGUGUAAUAAUUAUUUGCGCUGCCGGGACACGGGUGAAAUAUAGAUUCAUGCUUCAAACCGUCUGCUACAGACAAUAUACUAUUGCAUUUGACCUCAAAUCAGGUAGGAUUACCCGCUGAACUUAAGCAUAUCAAUAAGCGGAGGAAAAGAAACUAACAAGGAUUCCCCUAGUAACUGCGAGUGAAGCGGGAAAAGCUCAAAUUUAAAAUCUGGCAGUCUUUGGCUGUCCGAGUUGUAAUCUAGAGAAGCGUCUUCCGUGC